GACGAACGCUGGCGGCGUGCUUAACACAUGCAAGUCGAGCGGUAAGGCCCUUUCGGGGGUACACGAGCGGCGAACGGGUGAGUAACACGUGGGUGACCUGCCCUCAGCUCUGGGAUAAGGCCUGGGAAACCGGGUCUAAUACUGGAUAUGACUCCAUGACGCAUGUUGUGGGGUGAAAGCCUUGUGCGGCUGAGGAUGGGCCCG
rnacentral:rRNA from 1 species